rnacentral:rRNA from 1 species
CCUACGGGGGGCUGCAGUGGGGAAUAUUGGACAAUGGGGGGAACCCUGAUCCAGCCAUGCCGCGUGUGUGAAGAAGGCCCUCGGGGUGUAAAGCACUUUCAGUGAGGAAGAACGCCUGGUGGUUAAUACCCAUCAGGAAAGACAUCACUCACAGAAGAAGCACCGGCUAACUCCGUGCCAGCAGCCGCGGUAAUACGGAGGGUGCGAGCGUUAAUCGGAAUUACUGGGCGUAAAGCGCGCGUAGGUGGCUUGAUAAGCCGGUUGUGAAAGCCCCGGGCUCAACCUGGGAACGGCAUCCGGAACUGUCAAGCUAGAGUGCAGGAGAGGAAGGUAGAAUUCCCGGUUUAGCGGUGAAAUGCGUAGAGAUCGGGAGGAAUACCAGUGGCGAAGGCGGCCUUCUGGACUGACACUGACACUGAGGUGCGAAAGCGUGGGUAGCAAACAGGAUUAGAUACCCGAGUAGUC